AUAAACCUACAUAAGUUCGUUCUUAACCCUUUUUUUUCUCUUGCUGAUGAUAUUUACCAAUGGUACCAUAUGUUAUUUAGAAAGUUCUGUUAUAUAUCGUUGUAUGCUAUGCAGUUUUUCUAGCGGUAAUUUUUUAAUAUCGUAUCCAAUUACCAUAUGUUAUUUAGAAAGUUUUGCUAUAUAGCGUUGUAUGUUAUGCAGUCUUUCUAGCGGCAACUUUUCAAAAUCAUAUUACCACCCCGUGUAAAACACAUGCAAUUAUCCCAUAUUAGUGUAUAUAUGCUAUACAGCGCUGCACAACAGACAAUCUUAUGUUAUAAAACAUCAGAUAUAGGUUAUGCAAUAUGAAGUUAAAAUGCGUACGUCAAUUGCAAUGUAACGUGAUUCAAUGCGCUUAUUCACCCAUGCCAAAUGAUGAAUUUUAUUGAGCUUGUGCAACCAAUAAGUCAUGUCAUGCAAGAUUGUUUAAUUCUUUUUUUCUUUUUCUUUUUGAAUAAAGAUUAUUUAGUUCUUUAUUCUUGAGUAGAUUUGACCAUUUGUUCUCCACUCCACCAUCUCAUGGUGGACUGAGAUUUGAAUUUGUGCUCCAAGGAAUCUUAAAUUGUCUGCGAAUCAUCUUUGAUAUCUAAGAGCUAAAGAGUCUCGUUCAAAUUCUAAAAUUGCCGAGAUGAACUAGGUCUAGCUCGAACCAAGCUUAAGCUAUCAAUCAUCAAGCUUCCUCAACUAUAUAUUUUGUAAAACAACACAAAACUGGUACAUUUUUCUUUUCUUUUUCAAGAAAAAUUAGUUGUUGCAUGGUGUAAAAAAGCCGGAAGGAAAUCUGUUGUGCCCAUUAUGUGCCACGACUAUUAUUACGUCACGUUGUCUCUCCCUUAACAGAUACUUAACACUGUUAACUUAUAUUAGUUCUAAUUUCAAACUAAAUUGAUAAAUCAAUGUUAAUUGGAAAUACUUGUGUUGCAGACUUUAUCUCGAUAACAGCUUCUGAUCAUGCUCUUCAUAUAUAAGCAAAACUUGAGUCUUCAAUCAUCGUUUUACAAGGAAUCCUUAUCUAUUCAGUCCCCUAAUUUUGUUCUCAUCAAACCGAUGGCAGAUUUUCUUUACUCAAUCCAUAAGUUGUAAAUAUAUGGUUUAUUGGAUUAAAUUGCAGUUGGGAGAUGAUGGGUUACGGUGGUCAUGGGUGAAUUAGUGGGGAGAUGAUGUGGUCAUGGGUGAUUAGAAAGAUUGAUGAAAGAAAAUUGUGAUGGAGAUCGGUGUGUUUGAGGUGGCUCAAAACACAAAAGGCAUAGGAGAUGGUUGAAAGAGUGGUGGAUUGGAGUAUUUGAGCGGAGCAGACGGUGGUGGGCGAUGGAGGUUCCCGGCUUUGAAAAUUGAUCGAAUCCAAAUAAUCCAAGCAAGAUUUGAUCACCUUAAUCAUUCCUCACCAGUCACCAUGCAUCAACCCAUGUCAAAUUUUCAACACCUGUAUGCUAAAGGAAG
rnacentral:lncRNA from 1 species